rnacentral:rRNA from 1 species
GCCGGGGUUUCUUUACCAGGUACUGUCAUUAUCAUCCCUGGCGAAAGAGCUUUACGACCCUAGGGCCUUCAUCACUCACGCGGCAUCGCUAGAUCAGGGUUUCCCCCAUUGUCUAAGAUUCCCC